AUUACCUCCAAAUAACAACCCAGUGUCUUCACAAGGAUUAUUAUCCAGAGAUGAACGAGCUGCUGCCCUAAAUACUCAUAUUAAUGUUUGCUGUGAUCGCUUGGGUAAAGCUGUACGUCUGAGAUUACAGGAAAUAAAUGGCAUUUUGAAAGAUGAUAAAUUAAAAGCAACUUUAUAAACAAAUUUACGAUGAAAUUGUUUUAUCGUGUUUUUUUUUUUAAUUAUGUGUUUAAUGUCAAAUGUGUGCAGCUCUUGUACCACAAAUUUUACCACAUUUUUUACCUACAAUCUCCAAUUAAUUAUUCUACAUUUGUAAAUUAAAACAGUUUAUCAUUUUUUGAUAAGGUUAGCAGAAUUAUAUUGACCGUUACUUUCCUUUCAGGAAGCUACAAAAUUCUUUGGUGGGACUCUGCGUUGAUAAAGUUUGUUGAUUCUAAAAGCUAAAAUAGUCUACAAAAUUAAGUUUCUGUUUAGCCACAAAAUCGUAUGAAUCUGGUUAUUUAUAAAAAUAUAAGUUUAAGUUAUUUUGGUUCCAAAACCCUCAUUCGUGAAAUUUUGUGGUCUGGUGUUUGCCUUGUAGUUAAAACAAAAUUUUCUUAUGGAAUUGAUAAGGUUUAACUAUGAUUUGCCUAGUUUUUAACUUUGACCAGUUUGUAUCAUAAAAUAUCUCACAAUAAUACUAAAUAUUAUCAUGGCAUUGUAAUAUUUAGUAUUAUUAGCAAAAACUCUAUUUGUUGUUUUAAUAUCUAAGCGUUUUAGGCAUUAAUGAAAGUUCUAUGAAAUUCUUCAAUUUUAAUUCAGAGAACUACUACCAUAUUCUAACAAAUAAAAAUUGUUCAACGCA